GGACCCCGAGCUGCUGUCGGUGAUCCGACAGAAGGAGAAGGAUCUGGUGUUGGCGGCCCGGCUGGGUAAGGCGCUGCUCGAGAGGAACCAGGACAUGAGCCGGCAGUACGAGCAGAUGCAUAAGGAGCUGACAGACAAGCUCGAGACAAGAUCUCACUCUAUCCCCCAGGCUGCAGUGGAGUGGCUGAUCAUGGCUUACUGCACCCUCAAGUGACCCUCCUACUCAGCCUCCUGAGUAGCUGGGACUACAGGCGCCUACUACACACCUGGCUAAUUUUGUAAAAAUGUUUUGUAGAGAUGGGGUCUCACUAUGUUGCCAAGGCUGGUCUCAAACUACGGGGCUCAAGCAGUCCUCCUGCCCUGGCCUUCCAAAAUGGUGGGAUUACAGGAGUGAACCAUUGAGCCUGGCCUGUAUUUUCAAUUAAAUCAAACACUUGGGAGUAUAAAACCAGUACUUUAAGACGCAUUUAUUCAUGAGAGAACUUGACCAGAAAAAAAAAAUUUUAUAAUCUUCCACAAACUGUCGGACAUUUGGAGUCAAACACAUUUUCUUACAGGGUGGUUUGAAAGAGAAACAUGUGAGUGGACUGAGGGAAUGCCACUUUCACUAUUGAAUAAUGAGACUGGUUUUAUUUUAAUCCCAUCUUCUCUACUACUUCAAAAUUGGCACCUUUCUUCCACCCCCCCACCCUGCCCCCCAGAUGGAGUCUCGCUCUGUUGCCCAGUCUGGAGUGCAGUGGCGCAAUCUCAGCUCACUGCAAGCUCCACCUCCCAGGUUCAUGACAUUCUCCUGCCUCAGCCUCCUGAGCAGCUGGGACUACAGGCGCCCGCCACCACGCCUGGCUAAUUUUUUUUUUUUGUAUUUUUAGUAGAGACGGGGUUUCACCAUGUUAGCCAAGAUGUUCUCGAGCUCCUGACCUCGUGAUCCGCCUGCCUCGGCCUCCCAAAGUGCUGGGAUUACAGGCAUGAGCCACUGCGCUGGGCCGGCACCUUUCUAAUGUCGGGACAAACAAGGCAUUUUCAAGAUCUUUUCUACCUAUUCAUUAGUUAAUACUAAAUACCUCUCUGGUUCUGUGUGCCAAGCCCAAGAUUUUGUUGUUUUCAUUUCAAACAUUAAAGUACUUGAUGCUAC
rnacentral:sRNA from 1 species